rnacentral:rRNA from 1 species
UGGGGAAUAUUGGACAAUGGGCGGAAGCCUGAUCCAGCCAUGCCGCGUGUGUGAAGAAGGCCUUUUGGUUGUAAAGCACUUUAAGCGAGGAGGAGGCUACUUGGAUUAAUACUCUAGGAUAGUGGACGUUACUCGCAGAAUAAGCACCGGCUAACUCUGUGCCAGCAGCCGCGGUAAUACAGAGGGUGCGAGCGUUAAUCGGAUUUACUGUGCGUAAAGCGUGCGUAGGCGGCUUCUUAAGUCGGAUGUGAAAUCCCUGAGCUUAACUUAGGAAUUGCAUUCGAUACUGGGAAGCUAGAGUAUGGGAGAGGAUGGUAGAAUUCCAGGUGUAGCGGUGAAAUGCGUAGAGAUCUGGAGGAAUACCGAUGGCGAAGGCAGCCAUCUGGCCUAAUACUGACGCUGAGGUACGAAAGCAUGGGGAGCAAACAGG